ACUAUGCAUGAGGCACAGUGCUGGCACUGGGGGGAAGAGGAGAGCAAAGAAAUAGACUGCCUUGCCCUCAUGGAGGUGACCUGCAGAGUCAGGGACUAUGUACUUAGCUUGGGAUGCCCAGCUCAGAAAACAGCAUCCACCACUUAGCAGGCAGGCAAUAAGUGUAUGUUUAGCAAAUUGUAAACCUUGGAGAUUUAAUGAAACAGUGACAACAAUAUGAAAAACAAAAAUAAUUAGUGAUGGAAAAAACACAGUGGACUGUCAACAUGUUAAUUUUCCAAAGAAGGCUAUUUAAAAACUAUUACUGACUAUCACCAUUAUUGGAUAUGUAAAGAGAACAUUUGAAUCUUGAAAUCUUCUCCUCUAGACGUUGGGAGGAGAGGGAAAGCUGGUCCCCACCUCUGCCCUGUUGGCCAUUCAGCUUCUCUUACCACCUCCUGCUCCUUCCGCAACGUGGAGCGCCUCACCAGCACAUGUGUGGACACGAGGGCUGCUCCUCCAAGUUCUUCCACCUCCACUCCCUGAGACUUUCACACCGCUGAAGAUGCAUUCAAAUAUUUGGACCUGAAGGUCUGAGGGCCUAAAGUACCUACCUUUGCUUUCUACACGAAUACAAUGAAAAUAAAACUCUCUGUUACACUAGGGAGUCAGGGACCUGUGGCAGACAUCGGGAGUGGUUGGCAAAGUUCUAUACCAAAGGUAUGUGCCUUCCAAUUCACUAAGCUGUACAUUUGUAUCAGACAUUUUUAUGUAUGUGCUAUGCUUAGUGACAAAAGGCGCUUUGGUUUUUUUCUUUUUUUUUCUGGUGGCUGAUAAUUAGAUCAAAACAUCAAAUACAGACUGGGCACGGUGGCUCAUGCCUGGAAUCCCAGCACUUUGGGAAGCCAAGGCGGGAGGAUCACCUGAGGUCAGGAGUUCAAGACCAGCCUGGCUAACAUGGUGAAACCCUGUCUCUACUAAAACUAAAAAUUAGCUGGGUGUGGUGGCAUGUGCCUGUAAUCCCAGCUACUUGGAAGGCUGGGGCAGAAGAAUCUCUUGAACCGGAGGGUUGGAGGUUGCAGUGAGCAGAGAUGGUGCCAUUGCACUCCAGCUUGGGCAACAGAGCAAGACUCCAUCUCAAAAACAAACAAACAACAAACAAGCAAACAAAAAAUCAAAUACAUAAACGUCUGUGAGUUCAGAGUGGCAUUUAAAGAAAGAAAAUCUUAAAAACAAGAAACUUUAUUGGUCAUUUUGGGAGGUUGACAGGGAAUGACGU
rnacentral:lncRNA from 1 species